GGACGAACGCUGGCGGCGUGCUUAACACAUGCAAGUCAAACGGUAAGGCCCUUCGGGGUACACGAGUGGCGAACGGGUGAGUAACACGUGGGUGAUCUGCCCUGCACUUUGGGAUAAGCCUGGGAAACUGGGUCUAAUACCGAAUAGGACUCCGGACUGCAUGGUCUGGGGUGGAAAGCUUUUGCGGUGUGGGAUGGGCCCGCGGCCUAUCAGCUUGUUGGUGGGGUGAUGGCCUACCAAGGCGGCGACGGGGUAGCCGGCCUGAGAGGGUGACCGGCCACACUGGGACUGAGAUACGGCCCAGACUCCUACGGGAGGCAGCAGUGGGGAAUAUUGCACAAUGGGCGCAAGCCUGAUGCAGCGACGCCGCGUGAGGGAUGACGGCCUUCGGGUUGUAAACCUCUUUCAGCACAGACGAAGCGCAAGUGACGGUAUGUGCAGAAGAAGGACCGGCCAACUACGUG
rnacentral:rRNA from 1 species